rnacentral:misc_RNA from 1 species
UACAGAGGUCCCGAGCGUUGUUCGGAUUCACUGGGCGUAAAGGGUGCGUAGGUGGCAGGGAAAGUCUGAUGUGAAAGCUCCGGGCUCAACCCGGAAAAGGCAUUGGAAACUAUCUUGCUGGAGGGUCGGAAGGGGGACUGGAAUUCUCGGUGUAGCAGUGAAAUGCGUAGAUAUCGAGAGGAACACCAGUGGCGAAGGCGAGUCCCUGGACGACACCUGACACUGAGGCACGAAAGCUAGGGGAGCAAACAGG